rnacentral:rRNA from 1 species
CAGCAGUAGCCGCGGUAAUACGUAGGUGGCAAGCGUUGUCCGGAAUUAUUGGGCGUAAAGGGCUCGCAGGCGGUUUCUUAAGUCUGAUGUGAAAGCCCCCGGCUCAACCGGGGAGGGUCAUUGGAAACUGGGGAACUUGAGUGCAGAAGAGGAGAGUGGAAUUCCACGUGUAGCGGUGGAAUGCGUAGAGAUGUGGAGGAACACCAGUGGCGAAGGCGACUCUCUGGUCUGUAACUGACGCUGAGGAGCGAAAGCGUGGGGAGCGAACAGGAUUAGAUACCCCUGUAGUCCCUGUCUCUUAUAC